CAGCGAAGAGUGUGUGACAGAGAGCACCUUCCUUCUUCACCAUGGAGAUACCUCUACUUCCAGAUAUGCUAUUCAUGUUGAAAAACCUCAGAUGCUUAAAUCCAAGGCAAAGACACCACUAGUACUGAGGCACUAGGGUAACAUCAGUGAGCCUAUUGAGCUGCAUAUACUGCUGGACAGUGAGUGACUUGGAGUGGAGUCACAUGAAUUCUCUUCCCCACACCAGAAAAUACUCAAGCCGGGGAAGGAGAGACUGUGGAAUCGAGCCCUGCACACCAUCCGCAGGUAGGUAGUGUGACAGAGCAAGAUCCUUCAUUAUCGUGCAGACAGCUCUACUUCAUUAUCAUGGAGACAGCUUGGCUUCCAGAGAUUUCCCCUUAGGUCUUAGUCUCCAAUAGAAAGGCAUAAGAAUAUCGAGUCAAGCUGGGUGAAGCUGUCCCUGUCUACCAUGGUGUUUGGACGGACUUCCCUCGUAAACUUAGCCAGAACGAACUGGGUGCUUAAAACUCAAUGAUUUGCAAACAGAAGUUUACAGCAUUAUUGUGACAUAGUAAACAAGGAUUUUUAAUGAAAGAUAAAUUUUGUAACACUUUUUUUUGUAGACAAAAGGCAAGCGUAUUUAACCACUUCCUGCUGGGGACUCCGGAUCCAGACACGUAUGCUUUAUAUGUGUGGCCGGGGUCUCCGAAC